CUAAGCAUAGUUUAUAAAGAAUAAUUUAUUUACAUUAAAUAGGAACUUUUGAGUUGCUUUGA
rnacentral:tRNA from 1 species